GUAUAUGUUCCAACUGCUCCACCACAACGCACAAAGAUGGGUCAUCAUAAGAGAUUGAGAAUGUAUAUUUAUAUGAGUCUCCUUAUAAUAUUUUUGAGCUAUUAAUUUCAUAUUUAGUUAUGACAUGACUUGUCAAUUUUCCCAACUUUAGGGGGAGAGAAUACAAAGUUGGAUUAAUAAAGUACUUGAAAUGAAUUAUCAAUGUCUAAGAUCCUUGUACAAAGCAAUGUGAACUAGGAGUUCAACAGAUAAUUCAUUUUACAAAUCAACUGUCAAAUUCAUUAAAUCUCACAUACUAGUUGAAAAUGCUCCAAUAUGAAUUGAUGUCCUAAUAGGGAAAACUAUUAAUGCAAAAGAAAGUAAUUUAUGCCUGAAGCAUGGAAGAUCGGACGGUAUCCUCGUAAAAGAAAUGAGUAAACAUUCAAGAUGACCAUAUAGUGGAGGCGGGGGUUCCUAAAAAGACCCAUGACAUAACUAAUUAGAAAACUCAAGAAAAUAUUCUGGUACCUAAAAGUGAAAAUGUUAAUGAUGAAAAUAAAGAGAUCUCGAUAAGUUAUGUCAAUACGAGAAAAAGAUGGAACCGAAAAAUAAUAUUGCUAUUGAAAUAAUAAAAGAAUCAGGAUCCUAAGCCUAAAUCUAUUGAGGAAUGUAAAAAUAGAAAAGAUUGGUCAAAAUGGAAAGAUGCAAUUUAAGCAUAAUUGAAUUCAUUUUCUAAACGCGAAGUUUUUUGGACCUAUAAUCCAAACACCUAAAUGUGUAAAGCCGGUAAGAUAUAAAUGGGUAUUUGUGCAAAAAUAAAAUGACAAAAAAAUGAAGUCGUAAGAUAUAAAGCACGACUUGUAGCAUAAAGAUUUUCACAAAGGCCCGACAUUGAUUAUGAAGAGACAUAUUCUCCUAUGGUGGAUGCAAUGACAUUUAGAUAUCUUAUUAGUCUAGUAGUACGUGAAAAAAUUAGCAUGUAUCUAAUGGAUGUUGUUACAGCUUAUUUAUAUGGUACACUUGAUAGCGAAAUUUAUAUGAAAAUCCCUGAAGGAUUUAAAAUCCCAGAAGGAUAUAGAAUUUCUCGAGAAAUUGCUCAAUCAGAUUAAAGAAAAGUUUAUAUGGAUUAAAACAAUCUUGAUGUAUGUGGUACAAUCAUUUUAGUGAAUACUUAUUAAAAGAAGGUUACAAAAACAAUCCAAUUUGUCCAUAUGUCUUUAUAAAAAGGUUUGGAUCAGAUUUUGUGAUAAUUAUUGUUUAUGUUGAUAAUCUAAAUAUUAUUAGAACUCCUGAAGAGCUUCAAAAUAAAAUAAAUUGUUUAAAGAAAGAAUUUGAGAUGAAAGAUCUUAAAAAACAAAGUUUUAUCUUAACUUAUAAAUCGAGCAUUUAAAAGAUGGAAUUCUUGUUCAUCAAUCAACUUAUAUAGAAAAGAUAUUAAAGAAAUUUUACAUGGAUAAAGUACACCCAUUGAGUACUCCGAUGGUUGUACAAUCAUUUGAUGUGAAUAAUGAUCAAUUUUGUCCUUGGGAGAAUGAUGAAGAGUUUAUUGGUCCUGAAGUACCAUAUUUAAGUGUCAUAGGCCAUUGAUGUAUCUUGCAAACAACACAAAACCUGAUAUAGCUUUCGCUGUAAACUUGUUAGUAAGGUUUAGUUCUUCUCCAACACGUAGACAUUGGAAUGGAAUUAAACAUGUAUUUAGAUAUCUCAGAAGGACCAUUGAUAUGGGUUUAUUUUAUUCAAAUGAUUCAAAAUCCCUAUUAGUCGGCUAUGCUAAUGCUAGAUACUUAUCAGGUCCACAUAAAGGUCGAACUCAAAUAGGACAUUUAUUUACAUGUGCCAUAUCAUAGCGUUCAACAAAGCAAACAUUACUUGCCACUUCUUCAAAUCAUAUAGAAAUAAUUGCAAUGCAUGAGGUAAGUCGAGAUUGUGUUUGGCUAAGGUUAUUGACCCGUGUCUUUGGCUAAGGUUAUGGACCCAACAUAUCCAGAAGAUAUGUAAUUUGCCUUUACAGGAAAAGAUGUCAACUAUCUUAUAAGAAGAUAAUGUAACAUGUAUAGCUCAAUUGAAGGGUGAUUACAUCAAAGGUGAUAGAACAAAAUAUAUUUCACCAAAAUUAUUCUUCACACAUGAGCUUGAGAAAAGAGGUGAUAUAAAUGUUCAACAAAUUUGUUCUAGUGAUAAUUUAGUAGAUCUUUUUACUGAGGCAUUACCAACUUCAACAUUUGAAAGACUACUAGACAAGAUUAGAAUGUGUCAACUCAAAGACUUAAUAUAAUGUUGUCAUUAGGGGAGUCUAAAACAAGUUGUACACUUUUCCUUUAACCAAGGUUUUGUCCCAUUGAGUUUUCCUGGUAAAUGUUUUUAAUGAGGCAGCUUGUAAUAGAAGAUUGUGUACUCUUUUUCCUUCAUUAGGUUUUUAUCCCACAGGGUUUUUCAUAAUAAGGUUUUUGUAACGCCCCAAUUUUCGGGAAUUCUGUGAAUGUUGGCAUAGGUUUAAUUAUGUUAGUGGGCCUCUAGAAAGCCCAAACUUAAGAUAGAACCCGACAAUUUUAGUUAAUUUUUGUUCCAUAAGAAAAAGGGGGUGAAAUUAUGAAAUAGGACCUAUGUGAAAAUGUUUGAAAAUGCUAUAGGCUAAAUUGAAGUGGCCAAAUAAAUAGGAGUGCAAAAUAGGAGGAUUUGCAUGACAAACCUCCCAUUUUACAUGAAGUGGCCAGCCAUCAUGUUGUUGUAGACAAAAUGUACACUUGAUAUCCAUAAUUUAUGGUACAAAUUCAUAAUAGGUUAGGUAAAUGUUCAAUGAUAAUAGGUUAGGUAAAUGUUCCAUGAUAAUAGGUUAGGUAAAUGUUUCAUGAUAAUGGGUUAGGUAAAUGUUUCAUGAUAAGAAUUUCAUGUCUUUGUAUUAAAAUAUUAAAUGGAUGAAAUAUGAAGUUUUAUUAAAAGAAAAAGGGGUGAAAAGAACAAAGUUUUGUCCAUCUUUGUUCAUCAUAGAUGAAAGUUAGAGAAGAGAAAGGAGAGGAGAAAGCUCUUGAGUAUUUGGUCAUUAGGAGGAGGAAAAUUGAAGGUAAGUUCUUGGUACCUUGCUUCUAUUUUGAGGUUCAUGAGUUCUUCUUGAUUAUACCUUAACUCUUGAAGUAUAUUUUGAUUUUUAGUUGUGUUGUGAGCAUUUAGUCAUGAAUUAAAAUGAAGGAAAUGGUUGUUGUUUCAUGUUCUUUUGAUGAAAACUGGAAGAUAGGUGAAGUUGAGCCAAACAAAUAAGCAUGCAUGUGCCUUAGAUUUUAAAGGGAAAAAUCAGCUAACAUGUUGUUCUUUAAAAUGAUGAAAUGGAGAUUAUACUUAAGUAAAAUCAUAGAUAUGUGAUUAUUGAUUGGUGAUAUACAUGUUUAAAUAACAAGCAUGCAAGUUAGGUGUGAAAGAGUGAUUUGGUAAUAAAUCUGCUUGGGACAGCAGCAGUAACGUGACUUUGGAAAAUCACCAUAAAUUGUGGAAGAUGAGUUAGAAGCUUCAUAAAUUAUGUAAUUAAAUAUUAUUGAGUCUAGUUUCUAAUGAAAUAAACAAGAACAUAUUUUGAAUUCUGUACUAUGAGAAAUUUGAUUCGUAAUGAAGGGUGGUCAGAUUAGUCAAACAGUGAAAUAUGGGAAACUUUGAGAAAAAUCUGGUAUUGAUUGGCUAAACCAAAAAUUCUGAAAAUUUUAUGGAUAGAAGAUAUAUGAGUCUAUUUUUAGGGAAAAUUAACGGCACUUAAUUUGGAGUUUCGUAGCUCCAGUUAUAAAUAAUUUAGUGACUGUUGCUUAGGAAGAUAGCUUGCAGUGAAAUUAUGAUUAUGUGGUAAACAUUGACAAAAAUUUGUUAAUGAGUUGCUUAUUGAUUUUUUAUAAGCUUACUAUGAUCUGUAGGUGUGGUUGGCCGAAUAUUGUAAGGGGUUAAUACGUAGUUUGUAUUUGAAUAGUUAGAUUAACGUGUUAGUAAUCCAAUUGUAGGCGGUUCGUGUGUGGAUCUCGUCAGCAUAUCGUCGCAAACAGGUGUGUAACUGACACCCUCUCAUAGACUAGAUUGGCAAAAGCCGAAAAGUCAAAAUGCCGAAAAGUCGGUAUUUUGGGAAUUUGUGAGUGUGCGAAUGCUCGUAAGAUAGUUAGGUUUGUAUAUUUGGUAAUCUAAAGUAAUAAACUGCAGUACGCGCGAUUUCGUACAUUUUGAUAAUUUGGGCUUAAUGGGCCAAAGAUCGGGUUCAUGGGCCAACGGGCCCAAUUCGGUAAGUAUGCGCGGUAAGUGUUCUGAUAGUACGUAAAUAGUUAGGAUAUGCAUGAAAACCCUGAAAGUAGCUAAAUUACUAUAAUACCCCUAUGUAUGGAAAAUUACUGUUAUACCCCUAGGUACAAAAUUACCGUUAUACCCGUAGGGUUAAUUUUGACUGAAAAGCAUAGCGAUCUGAUUCUGUAUGAUGGAUGCCAUGAUUAUAUAUUUGUUGCAUGGGGACAUGGGUUAUAUUAUGGAGGAAGCGUUCUGGUGGCUAUGCCACAAAUAUCUGAUCUGAUGGCUCUGCCACAUAUAUCUGUUCUGGUGGCUCUGCCACGAUUAUUUGUAUCUGGUGACUCUGUCACAUUAUCUGUUCUGGCAUCCAUGCUACAAAUUCUGUGGUGUGUAGCGGUUGGGUGGGUCGAGUUGUCUCCCCACACGGUGUAAGGUUGGUACGCGGGUGUAUACGGUUGGAUAUGGUUGGAUUUCUGCAUAAACAUGUAAUAUCUGUUAUGUUCUGUUAUGGGCCUAUGGGCUUUAUUCUGAAUUCUGUUUUAGGCUAAGGCCAACUUAUUCUGUUUCUGUGGGUUGAGCUGAUUUAGACUAUGGUUGGGUUAUUUUACACACUGAGUUUCCCCAAACUCAUCCCUUUUAUUUUCAUCCACGCAGGUAAUCCCCAACCAUAGUGGGCUUGGAGCUGUGAGGGAAUUCGGAGUGGCCACCCAUUCUAAAAGUUUGAUUUUCUUCUGGUGAACUGAACAUCCUUUUAUUUACGUUUGAAGUUUUGGGUUUUUAAAUGUAAUAAGGCCGCUUAAUUAUUUUUGAUGGUUUUAAUAUGUAUUACUAAGAUAGGUAUUACUUAUUUUAACUGUUGAAAUUGGAUAGCUUUAGGGCGCGUUUUCAAAAAUAACAAUUGAUUUCAAAAUAACACGACAACAAGCAAAGCUUCCGCAAUGAAAGUAUUUUCCAAAAUUAAUCACUUUUCCUAAAAAUGACUUAAUUAAAUCGGUUUUCUAGAAAUAUCCAUGACGUUAAGGUGUGGCUAUGGCGGUAUGCAUGUCUAGGAUUGGAUCCGAAGGGAGCUUGGUACUUAAGCAGUCCGAUGGACUCACCACCUCUUUUCCGGUUUCCUACCUGGUGCACAGCUUCCAUUCACCUUAACCCUUAAUGAAUUAAUUUUUUGAACAUCAAGUACGAUUUUUUUGACUUAGAAUGAAAAAAAAAAUUUAAUGUUUUUAAUGUGGCAUGCCGGAUCCGGCCAUAACUUCUGGGCCGGGUUUGGGGUGCUACAUUUAGUGGUAUCAGAGCCUAGGUUACAACAGCUCAGCUGUGGAAUGGUUUUACAAAAUUUAGAUCUUCGAAAACAAAAAUUUUAUAAAGAUUGCAAAAAACGCAGUUUUCAAAAUUUAGAUCUUUAGAUGGUGGCAUUCCGAAUCUCCGGCUCAAGCCUGUAAGUAUUACUCUGAACUCUUCUGAAUAUUUUUUUGAAUUAUCGGUCUGUACUGAAAUCCUGUUAGGAUACUCUAGAUAGGGUGAUACUGAAACCAUAGGAAAAUCUGAUAAGAGACUGAAACUGUAGCUAGACUUCGAUUCUGUGAAAACAAACUUUGAAUUACUGUCUGAUUCAUAAAACAUCUGUAAUAAACACUGGAAUAUUGAAUUGAUGCAUAAAAAUUCGUAAUCAAGAUCAAUCGAUAUGAGUACGAGAGCUACUCAGGGAAGAGGCUGUGGUCGAGGCCGAGGUAGUACUCAAGCUGGAUCUUCGUCUUCUGAACACAUACCCACUGGAGUAGCACGACCACUACCGACGAAUGAGAAUGGGCCGUAUGAUAGAGCCGCCAAGGAUGAUGUCCUGUAACAGGCAAUGCUUCGUGUUCUGGAAAGGGUUGCCGGAGCAAGUUCGGGCAACGAAAUUCAGGGAUCUAUUUCUGAAUGACUUCGGGACUAACGGAACGGAGAUCUUUAAGGGCAUGUUUGGUAUAGCCCCGAAUGUGGCGGAAUAUUGGUUGGAGGCCACAGAACGGAUUAUGGACGACUUAGACUGCUCUGAGGAGAUUGUGAGUGGGGUAUCUGUACUAAGUCCCUUGGGUCACUCGAUUAGGGUAGACAAACUGUAUAGGAAUGUACCCUUAGAAACUCAAGGCAAGGUUUUUCCUGGAGAUCUGAUGGAGUUACCGUUCGGAGAGUUUGACCUCAUUCUGGGAAUGGAUUGGCUUGUUAAGCAUAAGGCGACUCUGGAUUGUGCUGCUAAACGAAUGGUGUCAAGAACUACAAAGGAUGAGGAGGUUAUGGUGAUAGGUGAGAGAAGGGAUUAUUUGUCCAAUGUGGUGUCGGCAUUAAGAGCCGAAAAGUGGAUUCGGAAAGGUUGUGAGGCCUAAUUGGUAUUUGUAAGUCAGUCGGAAGAGAAGGGACUGACAGUGGAUAAGGUUAGGACCAUAAAGGAGUUCCAAGAUGUUUUUCCGGAGGAGCUUCCAGGAUUGCCUCCGAAUCGAGAAGUUGAGUUUGGAAUAGACUUGUUGCCUGGAAUGGCGCUUGUGUCUAUCGCACCGUAUAGGAUGGCACCGAAGGAGUUAGUAGAUUUAAAUGCUCAAAUUCAAGAGUUGUUGGAUAAGGGCUUUAUUAGGCCAAGCGUGUCUCCAUGGGGAGCACCGGUGCUACUCGUGAAGAAGAAGGAUGGUACAAUGCGGAUGUGCAUUGAUUAUCGCCAGUUGAACAAACUGAUAAUUAAGAAUAAGUAUCCACUGCCAAGGAUUGACGAUAUAUUCGACUAGCUUAGAGGAGCUUCUGUAUUUUCCAAGAUCGACCUUUAACUGGUUAUCAUCAGUUAAGGGUUAAGGAGUCAAAUAUCCAUGAGACGGCAUUCAGGACUCGGUAUGGUCAUUACGAGUUUCUGGUUAUGCCAUUUGGACUGACGAACGCUCCUACAGCGUUUAUGGAUCUGAUGAAUCAUGUGUUCCAACUAUUUUUAGAUCAAUUCGUAGUCGUCUUCAUUGUCGAUAUCCUGGUAUAUUCUGAAACUGAAACGAAACAUGAUGAGCAUCUCCGUAUAGUGCUGUAAGUAUUAAGGGAGAAGGAACUCUUUGCGAAGUUCAGCAAGUGUGAAUUUUGGUUGAGGGAGGUAACCUUCUUAGGACAUGUGGUCUCUGCUGAGGGGAUUAAGGUGGACCCUCGGAAAAUUGAAGCGAUUUUGGAGUGGAAGCCGCCUAGGUCAGUGUCAGAAAUACAGAGUUUUCUAGGACUGGCAUGAUACUACAGAAGGUUUGUGGAAGGUUUUUCUGUGAUGGCAACACCUCUGACAAAACACAUAAGGAAAAGAGUACCGUUUGUAUGGACUAAGAAACAGCAGGAAGCUUUUGAGAAGUUGAAGAAAGUUCUGACUGAAGCACUUGUGUUAAUUCAGCCGGAGUUUGGGAAUGAUUUUACUGUGUACAGUGACGCAUCACACGUGGGUUUGGGCUGCGUGUUAAUGCAAGAGGGUAAGGUGGUUGCAUAUGCAUCACGAUAGCUUAAGCCUCAUGAAGGAAACUAUUUGACUCAAGAUUUAGAGUUGGAAGCAGUGAUAUUUGCACUUAAGAUUUGGAGACAUUACUUGUACGGAGAAAGGUGUAUUACAUACACUGACCAUAAGAGUCUUAAGUAUUUGUUGACUCAGAAGAAGCUGAACCUUAGGCAAAGGAGAUGGAUUGAGUUGCUUAAGGAUUAUGACUGUUCGAUCGAGUAUCACCCAAGCAAGGCUAAUGUGGUAGCUGAUGCUCUAAGUCGUAAAGCUGUAUCUGAUCUGAGAGCAAUGUUUGCUCGUCUGAGUCUGUAUGAUGAUGGAAGUCUGUUGGCUGAGUUGCAAGUGAGGCCAACCUGGGUGGAUCAGAUUAAGGAAAAACAGUUUAACGAUGAGUCUUUGGUCGCUCGUUUUCAACAAGUUAAGGGAGGGGAAACUUCUGAGUUUGGGAGCCAGAAGAGACGAUGCAACAGCAAUACCCUCAUCUGUUUGGAUUAGGUAAAUUUCGAGGAUGAAAUUUCUUUAAGGAGGGUAGAGUUGUAACGCCCCAAUUUUCGAGAAUUCUGUGAAUGUUGGCAUAGGUUUAAUUAUGUUAGUGGGCCUCUAGAAAGCCCAAACUUAAGAUAGAACCCGACAAUUUUAGUUAAUUUUUGUUCCAUAAGAAAAAGGGGGUGAAAUUAUGAAAUAGGACCUAUGUGAAAAUGUUUAAAAAUGCUAUAGGUUAAAUUGAAGUGGCCAAAUAAAUAGGAGUGUAAAAUAGGAGGAUUUGCAUGACAAACCACCCAUUUUACAUGAAGUGGCCAGCCAUCAUGUUGUUGUAGACAAAAUGUACACUUGAUAUCUAUAAUUUAUGGUACAAAUUCAUAAUAGGUUAGGUAAAUGUUCAAUGAUAAUAGGUUAGGUAAAUGUUCCAUGAUAAUAGGUUAGGUAAAUGCUCCAUUAUAAUGGGUUAGGUAAAUGUUUCAUGAUAAGAAUUUCAUGUCUUUUGUAUUAAAGAAUUAAAUGGAUGAAAUAUGAAGUUUUAUUAAAAUAAAAAGGGGUGAAAAGAACAAAGUUUUGUCCAUCUUUGUUCAUCAUAAAUGAAAGUUAGAGAAGAGAAAGGAAAGGAGAAAGCUCUUGAGGAAUUUGGUCAUUAGGAGGAGGAAAAUUGAAGGUAAGUUCUUGGUACCUUACUUCUAUUUUGAGGUUCAUGAGUUCUUCUUAAUUCUACCUUAACUCUUGAAGUAUAUUUUGAUUUUUAGUUGUGUUGUGAGCAUUUAGUCAUGAAUUAAAAUGAAGGAAAUGGUUGUUGUUUCAUGUUCUUUUGAUGAAAAAUGGAAGAUAGGUGAAGUUGAGCCAAACAAAUAAGCAUGCAUGUGCCUUAGAUGUUAAAGGGAAAAAUCAGCUAACAUGUUGUGCUUUAAAAUGAUGAAAUGGAGAUUAUACUUAAGUAAAAUCAUAGAUAUGUGAUGAUUGAUUGGUGAUAUACAUGUUUAAAUAACAAGCAUGCAAGUUAGGUGUGAAAGAGUGAUUUGGUAAUAAAUCUGCUUGGGACAGCAGCAGUAAUGUGACUUUGGAAAAUCACCAUAAAUUAUGGAAGAUGAGUUAGAAGCUGCAUAAAUUAUUUAAUUAAAGCUUAUUGAGUCUAGUUUCUAAUGAAAUAAACAAGAACAUAUUUUGAAUUCUGUACAAUGAGAAAUUUGAUUCGUAAUGAAGGGUGGUCAGAUUAGUCAAACAGUGAAACAUGGGAAACUUUGAGAAAAAUCUGGUAUUAAUUGGCUAAACCAAAAAUUCUUAAAAUUUUAUGAAUAGAAGAUAUAUGAGUCUAUUUUCAGGGAAAAUUAACGGCACUUGAUUUGGAGUUUCGUAGCUCCAGUUAUAAAUAAUUUAGUGACUGUUGCUCAGGAAGACAGCUUGCAGUGAAAUUAUGAUUAUGUGGUAAACAUUGACAAAAAUUUGUUAAUGAGUUGCUUAUUGAUUUCUUAUAAGCUUACUAUGAUCUGUAGGUGUGGUUGGCCGAAUAUUGUAAGGGGUUAAUACGUAGUUUGUAUUUGAAUAGUUAGAUUAACGUGUUAGUAAUCCAAUUGUAGGCGGUUCGUGUGUGGAUCUCGUCAGCAUAUCGUCGCAAACAUGUGUGUAACUGACACCCUCUCAUAGACUAGAUUGGCAAAAGCCGAAAAGUCAAAAUGCCGAAAAGUCGAUAUUUUGGGAAUUUGUGAGUGUGCGAAUGCUCGUAAGAUAGUUGGGUUUGUAUAUUUGGUAAUCUAAAGUAAUAAACUGCAGUACGCGCGAUUUCGUACAUUUUGAUAAUUUGGGCUUAAUGGGCCAAAGAUCGGGUUCAUGGGCCAACGGGCCCAAUUCGGUAAGUAUGCGCGGUAAGUGUUCUGAUAGUACGUAAAUAGUUAGGAUAUGCAUGAAAACCCUGAAAGUAGCUAAAUUACUAUAAUACCCCUAUGUAUGGAAAUUUACUGUUAUACUCCUAGGUGCAAAAUUACCGUUAUACCCGUAGGGUUAAUUUUGACUGAAAAGCAUAGCGAUCUGAUUCUGUAUGAUGGAUGCCAUGAUUAUAUAUUUGUUGCAUGGGGACAUGGGUUAUAUUAUGGAGGAAGCGUUCUGGUGGCUAUGCCACAAAUAUCUGAUCUGAUGGCUCUGCCACAAAUAUCUGAUUUGAUGGCUCUGCCACAUAUAUCUAUUCUGGUGGCUCUGCCACGAUUAUCUGUAUCUGGUGACUCUGUCACAUUAUCUAUUCUGGCAGCUAUGCUGUAAAUUCUGUGGUGUGUAGCGGUUGGGUGGGUCGAGUUGUCUUCCCACACGGUGUAAGGUUGGUACGCGGGUGUAUACGGUUGGAUAUGGUUGGGUUUCUGCAUAAACAUGUAAUAUCUGUUCUGUUCUGUUAUGGGCCUAUGGGCUUUAUUCUAAAUUCUGUUCUGGGCUAAGGCCAACUUAUUCUGUUUCUGUGGGUUGAGCUGAUUUAGACUAUGGUUGGGUUAUUUUACACACUGAGUUUCCCCAAACUCAUCCCUUUUAUUUUCAUCCACGCAGGUAAUCCCCAACCAUAGUGGGCUUGGAGCUGUGAGGGAAUUCGGAGUGGCCACCCAUUCUGAAAGUUUGAUUUUCUUCUGGUGAACUGAACAUCCUUUUAUUUACGUUUGAAGUUUUGAGUUUUUAAAUGUAAUAAGGCCGCUUAAUUAUUUUUGAUGGUUUUAAUAUGUAUUACUAAGAUAGGUAUUACUUAUUUUAACUGUUGAAAUUGGAUAGCUUUAGGGCGCGUUUUCAAAAAUAACAAUUGAUUUCAAAAUAACACGACAACAAGCAAAGCUUCCACAAUGAAAGUAUUUUCCAAAAUUAAUCACUUUUCCUAAAAAUGACUUAAUCAAAUCGGUUUCCUAGAAAUAUCCAUGACGUUAAGGUGUGGCUAUGGCGGUAUGUAUGUCUAGGAUUGGAUCCGAAGGGAGCUUGGUACUUAAGCAGUCCGAUGGACUCACCACCUCUUUUCCGGUUUCCUACCUAGUGCACAGCUUCCAUUCACCUUAACCCUUAAUGAAUUAAUCUUUUGAACAUCAAGUACGAUUUUUUGGACUUAGAAUGGAAAAAAAAAUUUAACGUUUUUGAUGUGGCAUGCCGGAUCAGGCCAUAACUUCUAGGCCGGGUUUGGGGUGCUACAGUUUUAAUGAGGCACAUUAUCUAGCAAUGGACAUCCAAGGGGGAGUGUUAUGAAUAUCUUAUUAAGUGGAUGUCCAUCAUGAUCAAGAUAAAGUUUUAAUAUACUUUAAAUUCUAAUAGUUAUUAGACUUAGAUCUCUACUUCUUUUCUACUUCUUAUGCCUAUAAACAGAGACUCUGAUGAAGCAUUGUAAUCAUCCUUUUGAUCAAUAAAAUAUAUUCUCUAUUGCUUCCUAUAUAUUAUUUGUUCUUUAGUCUCUCUAUCUCUCUUUAUUUUAUAGCAAGUGUUCUUAAAUUCACUGAUUAAAAAAAAUUAUGAAGGACCUUAUUAAUUAAAAAUUUUGUUAAUAAAUAUUAUAAAUUAUAUUAUCGAUGCAUUUUAAGGAUAUUUUUUUUUGUCGAACUUUGCAAAAGGUCUCUUUGCUAUGCCUUUCUACUAUAAUAUAAUAUUUUUAGUCCAUCUAACAGUUUUUUUAUAAAUGUGAUGUUUGAAGCGGAAGUGAUGUUGAUAAAAGGCGAAAAGUUUGGUAGACUAUUGAAGGAGAAAUGGGAGUUUGAUGCAAAUUAGGAGGGAGUGUUGGAACUUAAACUCAACGUCUAUCCUAUGAACUUAUAAUGCGACUUGUUCUUGAGGAAGAAAUCAAAGAAUAAGAGGUGAUAGAUGCUCUAUGGUCAUGGUUUUUAGUUUAUUUAUAUGUGGUGUAGGUCAAACUUCUUUUGUUUCUAUUGCUUUAUUUGAGAUCCUACAUCGUCAACUUUAUUUUGUAUUAGGUGUGUGGUGUUCUUUUAAAAGCUCUACGUCCAAGUCAACUUUAGGUCCUACCCAACUGUUUUCUUAUUUUUUGCCUUUGGGAACCUAAUCUUACUCUUCUUUCCAACUCUAAUUUUGAUUCACCUUCUUACUUUAAGCCCAACAUUAAGCAAGAGGCAAGUUCACCAUUAAUUUAUUCUUCAGCUUUUAACUUUGUAGUUUUGUUGGUUUAAGGAGAAGGAAACUGUAUUCUAAUCUUAUGUUAGUGAAAACAAAUUUAAUACUAUAAUUGGUGGGGUAGAAGAUUAUUUGUUGAAAUCAUCAUAUUGUGGGGAUGAGAAUGGUAUUGAACUAUUAUGUACCUUCUCUUUUGCGGAAGAAGUGAUUGUAUGCCUCCAAGGAGUACAAAUGAAGUUGGAUCUUGACUUCCAAAGGGUGAUUUUGGAAGGGGUAGUCUCACAGUGGUGAAGAAACUACAAAAUAAAAAGGAAGAUAUAUAGAGAUCAACCCUAUUAUCAAAUAUGUGAAAAGAGCUCGUCGGGCCUUCGUGGAGUGUAGAUUUAAUUUUGUGGGGAGAAAUGCAAAUGAGACAGCACACCGGUAAGCAAAAGAAUGAUUAUUCAAUGGUGAAACUUACUUACCUGAUGGAGGGAACUCUUGAGGCAGUAUAGAAAGCAACGGAGGAAGAUAAUUGCUGGGCUAAGUUAGGACAUUUGCAUCGUUCUGGUUUCCUUAAGAGGGAUCCUUGAUAGGACUGAAAGGAAAUGAAAGGUUUCUGCGUGUGAAGUCUCUAUCUACUUUUCUAGAUUUAAGAGUAUAGUAAUUGUCAUAACUGAGUUGAUUCCUCAUUUUAAUUAUGCCUUUAGUGCUGAG
rnacentral:lncRNA from 1 species